AAUCGAUUCUUAUAAUUUAUGGUUGUAUUCAAACUUUGCCAGCAAUAAUAACUCGUUGGGCCCAAACUACCGGCCCAAAAUAUUUAAGUCCAGUUAUUAUGUCUAACCCAUAAGUAUCUGAUGUGGGACUUUUGAAGUGUCAAAGACUCCCCCGUCUUAUAGUUUAUGGGGUAAUUUAAGCUUUGCUAACAAUAAGAACUCGUUGGGCCCAAGCCACCGGCCCAAAAGCUUAAACUCAGUUUUUAUGUCCAGCUUAAUCAAAACCUAUAUAAACCCACAUCUAGGUAGAACUAUCCGAUGUGGGACUAUUGGGGUCUAAUAUGAUUAGAUUUUUUCUUUAAUUCAAUUUUUCGACUUAAACUCUAAUUUUGAAUUUCAAUAUUAAUUUAAUCUAAUUUUAAUUAUAAAUUUAAAAUUUAAAAUUUAAU
rnacentral:lncRNA from 1 species